rnacentral:rRNA from 1 species
UAGGGAAUCUUCGGCAAUGGACGAAAGUCUGACCGAGCAACGCCGCGUGAGUGAAGAAGGUUUUCGGAUCGUAAAACUCUGUUGUUAGAGAAGAACAAGGACGUUAGUAACUGAACGUCCCCUGACGGUAUCUAACCAGAAAGCCACGGCUAACUACGUGCCAGCAGCCGCGGUAAUACGUAGGUGGCAAGCGUUGUCCGGAUUUAUUGGGCGUAAAGCGAGCGCAGGCGGUUUCUUAAGUCUGAUGUGAAAGCCCCCGGCUCAACCGGGGAGGGUCAUUGGAAACUGGGAGACUUGAGUGCAGAAGAGGAGAGUGGAAUUCCAUGUGUAGCGGUGAAAUGCGUAGGUAUAUGGAGGAACACCAGUGGCGAAGGCGGCUCUCUGGUCUGUAACUGACGCUGAGGCACGAAAGCGUGGGGAGCAAACAGG